CCUACGGGCGGCUGCAGUGGGGAAUAUUGCACAAUGGGGGAAACUCUGAUGCAGCGACGCCGCGUGAGUGACGAAGUAAUUCGUUAUGUAAAGCUCUAUCAGUAGGGUAGUAAAUGACGGUACCUGAGUAUGAAGCCCCGGCUAACUACGUGCCAGCAGCCGCGGCAAUACGCCGGGGGCAUGCGUUAUCCGGAUUUACUGGGUGUAAAGGGAGCGUAUACGGCAGUGCAAGUCUGGAGUGAAAGGCGGGGGUUCAACCCCCGGACUGCUCUGGAAACUGUACGGCUGGAGUGCAGGAGAGGUAAGUGGAAUUCCUAGUGUAGCGGUGAAAUGCGUAGAUAUUAGGAGGAACACCAGUGGCGAAGGCGGCUUACUGGACUGUAACUGACGUUGAGGCUCGAAAGCGUGGGGAGCAAACAGGAUUAGAUACCCCAGUAGUC
rnacentral:rRNA from 1 species